CUGCUGCGGCCUUGACCUGGGACUUCCAGCCUCUGGAGCUGGGAGACGUGAAUGUGCCCUGAUAAAGCACCCAGUCUAUAGGAUUUGUUAUGGCGGAGCCCGAUCUGACUGAGACAGCGCGCACACAGAAUGACCGGGGAGUGAGGGUUAACAUGCAGGUUCUAGGGCCCCAGGACUGAGCAUUUAACCAGCUUCCUGGGGACUCAGGAGCAAGGCAGCCCCUGGGGACGCAGCCUCAGGGUCCUGGAGAGGAGCAGACACCAGAACCAAAGCAGAGCAGCGUCCAAGCCCACUGCAUGCGGAGCCUGUGAGCCUGGGGCGGCUCCACUCCCAGAAUCAGGGUCCCCAGUGCAUGGGGACUCAGCUCCAAGGGAGAAUGCAACCAG